UACGUAGGUGGCAAGCGUUGUCCGGAUUUACUGGGCGUAAAGAGCGCGCAGGCGGUCGUUCAAGUCGCGUGUGAAAGCCCCCGGCUCAACUGGGGAGGGUCACGCGAUACUGAUCGACUCGAAGGCAGGAGAGGGAAGUGGAAUUCCCGGUGUAGUGGUGAAAUGCGUAGAUAUCGGGAGGAACACCGGUGGCGAAGGCGGUUCUCUGGGCCUGUACUGACGCUGAGGAGCGAAAGCGUGGGGAGCGAACAGG
rnacentral:rRNA from 1 species